AUUGAACGCUGGCGGCAGGCCUAACACAUGCAAGUCGAGCGGUAACACAGGGAGCUUGCUCCCGGGUGACGAGCGGCGGACAGGUGAGUAAUGUCUGGAAAACUGCCUGAUGGAGGGGGAUAACUACUGGAAACGGUAGCUAAUACCGCAUAACGUCGCAAGACCAAAGAGGGGGACCUUCGGGCCUCUUGCCAUCAGAUGUGCCCAGAUGGGAUUAGCUAGUAGGUGGGGUAAUGGCUCACCUAGGCGACGAUCCCUAGCUGGUCUGAGAGGAUGACCAGCCACACUGGAACUGAGACACGGUCCAGACUCCUACGGGAGGCAGCAGUGGGGAAUAUUGCACAAUGGGCGCAAGCCUGAUGCAGCCAUGCCGCGUGUAUGAAGAAGGCCUUCGGGUUGUAAAGUACUUUCAGCGGGGAGGAAGGCGAUAAGGUUAAUAACCUUGUCGAUUGACGUUACCCGCAGAAGAGGCACCGGCUAACUCCGUGCCAGCCGCCGCGGUAAUAC
rnacentral:rRNA from 1 species